rnacentral:rRNA from 1 species
GUGGGCGUGCGGCGUGCUUACACAUGCAGUCGAACGAUGAUGCCCAGCUUGCUGGGUGGAUUAGUGGCGAACGGGUGAGUAACACGUGAGUAACCUGCCCCUGACUCUGGGAUAAGCGUUGGAAACGACGUCUAAUACUGGAUAUGAUCACUGGCCGCAUGGUCUGGUGGUGGAAAGAUUUUUUGGUUGGGGAUGGACUCGCGGCCUAUCAGCUUGUUGGUGAGGUAAUGGCUCACCAAGGCGACGACGGGUAGCCGGCCUGAGAGGGUGACCGGCCACACUGGGACUGAGACACGGCCCAGACUCCUACGGGAGGCAGCAGUGGGGAAUAUUGCACAAUGGGCGAAAGCCUGAUGCAGCAACGCCGCGUGAGGGAUGACGGCCUUCGGGUUGUAAACCUCUUUUAGUAGGGAAGAAGCGAGAGUGACGGUACCUGCAGAAAAAGCACCGGCUAACUACGUGCCAGCAGCCGCGGUAAUACGUAGGGUGCAAGCGUUGUCCGGAAUUAUUGGGCGUAAAGAGCUCGUAGGCGGUUUGUCGCGUCUGCUGUGAAAUCCCGAGGCUCAACCUCGGGCUUGCAGUGGGUACGGGCAGACUAGAGUGCGGUAGGGGAGAUUGGAAUUCCUGGUGUAGCGGUGGAAUGCGCAGAUAUCAGGAGGAACACCGAUGGCGAAGGCAGAUCUCUGGGCCGUAACUGACGCUGAGGAGCGAAAGCAUGGGGAGCGAACAGGAUUAGAUACCCUGGUAGUCCAUGCCGUAAACGUUGGGCGCUAGAUGUAGGGACCUUUCCACGGUUUCUGUGUCGUAGCUAACGCAUUAAGCGCCCCGCCUGGGGAGUACGGCCGCAAGGCUAAAACUCAAAGGAAUUGACGGGGGCCCGCACAAGCGGCGGAGCAUGCGGAUUAAUUCGAUGCAACGCGAAGAACCUUACCAAGGCUUGACAUACACCGGAAACGGCCAGAGAUGGUCGCCCCCUUGUGGUCGGUGUACAGGUGGUGCAUGGUUGUCGUCAGCUCGUGUCGUGAGAUGUUGGGUUAAGUCCCGCAACGAGCGCAACCCUCGUUCUAUGUUGCCAGCGGGUUAUGCCGGGGACUCAUAGGAAACUGCCGGGGUCAACUCCGAAGAAAGGUGGGGAUGAAGGUCAAAUCAUUCAGGCCCCUUA